rnacentral:rRNA from 1 species
AUUGAACGCUGGCGGCAUGCCUUACACAUGCAAGUCGAACGGUAACGGGCCUUCGGGUGCCGACGAGUGGCGAACGGGUGAGUAAUACAUCGGAACGUGCCCGAUCGUGGGGGAUAACGAGGCGAAAGCUUUGCUAAUACCGCAUACGAUCUACGGAUGAAAGCAGGGGACCGCAAGGCCUUGCGCGGACGGAGCGGCCGAUGGCAGAUUAGGGAGUUGGUGGGAUAAAAGCUUACCAAGCCGACGAUCUGUAGAUGGUCUGAGAGGAUGAUCAGCAACACUGGGACUGAGACACGGCCCAGACGCCUACGGGAGGCAGCAGUUGGUAAUUUUGGACAAUGGGCGCAAGCCUGAUCCAGCCAUGCCGCGUGCAGGAUGAAGGCCUUCGGGUUGUAAACUGCUUUUGUACGGAACGAGAAGCCUUCUUCUAAUACAGGAGGGUCAUGACGGUACCGUAAGAAUAAGCACCGGCUAACUACGUGCCAGCAGCCGCCGUAA